rnacentral:rRNA from 1 species
GACGAACGCUGGCGGCGUGCUUAACACAUGCAAGUCGAACGAAGAGCGAUGGAAGCUUGCUUCUAUCAAUCUUAGUGGCGAACGGGUGAGUAACGCGUAAUCAACCUGCCCUUCAGAGGGGGACAACAGUUGGAAACGACUGCUAAUACCGCAUACGAUCUAAUCUCGGCAUCGAGGAUAGAUGGGAGGUGGCCUCUAUUUAUAAGCUAUCACUGGAGGAGGGGAUUGCGUCUGAUUAGCUAGUUGGAGGGGUAACGGCCCACCAAGGCGAUGAUCAGUAGCCGGUCUGAGAGGAUGGACGGCCGCAUUGGGGCUGAGGCACGGCCCAGUCUCCUGCGGGGGGCGGCGGUGGGGGAUCUUCCGCUGUGGACGGUGGUCUGGCGGGGCUGCGCCGCGUGAGUGAUGACGGCCUUCGGGUUGUAAAGCUCUGUUAAUCGGGACGAGAGGCCUUCUUGCGAAUAGUUAGAAGG